CAGCUUAUAGGUUGAUUACCGCCACCUCCCGAAGGCUCCUUUUAAGUGUGUACAGUGUGUUCUUUCCUAGCAGAUUCCCCAAUUUAAUAUUAUACUUUUUUGUCUUGAGCUCACUUAGCUCACUCCGUUGCCCAUUAUAGCUGUUACAAUAUAGCAGCAUAUGUUCUACCGUUUGUGAAUCGUUCAGUGUGUGUACAUCCUAUCCUCAGACUCACUUCAGGGCUCACCUUCUCGGCAUGUACCUCUAUGUGGUUGUUGAAGAAUGUGAUGACAACAUCCUCUGGAGAAAAUUCACUCACAUCGACCGUGAACUGGAAAAUGUCUCCGAUGACCUGGAUCUUGCCCGUAGGAUAUGAAUGGUCGUGAUCCUGAAUCCCGAGAGAAAAUACUUUGGCCUUUCUCCAUUAGGCUGAGAAGGAUGGAUUGACUCUAUCUAGCUGACUGUAUCUACUGUAUGAAUCCAAGAGAAGUCAUUCUAAUCUGG